rnacentral:misc_RNA from 1 species
CUUGCUGCAGCAGGGAAUAAGGAUGAUUAGCACGGGUUUUCACAUAGUAGUCAGUGAAUCUAUAUCUAAAGCGUUUAUCAAACUUCUUCAGGAUCUUACGCAGACCAAUAGCAUUUAUCUCAACAAAAAAAGAGAAGCUUUAACAAAUCUUGCCCCGCUGCUCUAUAAGCUUCUCGUAAUUGGGUUAUUUGAGAUAUAUC